rnacentral:lncRNA from 1 species
GCGGAGAGCAGAUCCGCACUUCAGCACACUUUGGCGGGAGCGCCGGAGCUACUGGCGGCUCGUGAAGACUCCUCGGCCCCGGCGGAGGGGAUGGCUCCCCGUGUGCACGCUCCGGGGUGGCCCCC